AGAGACUUUAAAUUCUACAUUUAAAUUAAAAAAACAAACAAAUCUAUUUAACGUUAAAAAAUAAUAAUAAUAAAUAAAAACCAUUAAAAAAUUUCCUCAGGACAAAAUAAAAAUAUUACUAAUAUGGUAUGAGUCUGGUUAAAAACUGUGAGUGUUUGUGGUCUAAAAAAUACAUAUAAAAAUCACUGAAAAAAACAAUGUAAGAAUGAACUACAAUGCGCUAUAAUAUCUCUAUUAAACUGAUUAAACUAUUUUUUUCCUUUUCCCACCGUCUUUCUCUCCGGUGUCUCAGAUUGAGUCCUGUAUAUCUGGCCUGUCUGGAGGAGUGAUAGUGGACAUGCUGGACUUUCUAAAGAGUUGCUCCGGCUGCAGAAGGAAAGAUGAAUCCAUGCUGUCGUAUCCGUGAGACUGAAGAGAGAGGCGGCAGAUCAAGGAAAGGACAGGAGGAACAGCCAGCAGUCUGAAGAGAUUGUGACAGAACUCGUCUGCAGAUUCUUCAUUCCUGAGGUGCAGAAGAUUACUGUCAGAGAAAGAGUGUUUGCUGUGUAAUAAAGACCCUGUUCUUACAAAACACACAACUCUCGGUCUACAGCUUGC